GCCUACGGGGCGCAGCAGUGGGGAAUAUUGCACAAUGGGGGAAACCCUGAUGCAGCAACGCCGCGUGAGUGAUGACGGCCUUCGGGUUGUAAAGCUCUGUCUUCAGGGACGAUAAUGACGGUACCUGAGGAGGAAGCCACGGCUAACUACGUGCCAGCAGCCGCGGUAAUACGUAGGUGGCGAGCGUUGUCCGGAUUUACUGGGCGUAAAGGGAGCGUAGGCGGUAUGUCAAGUCAAGGGUGAAAUCCCCGCGCUCAACGUGGGGACUGCCUUUGAAACUGGCAAACUGGAGUGUGUGAGAGGAU
rnacentral:rRNA from 1 species